GAUGAACGCUAGCUACAGGCUUAACACAUGCAAGUCGAGGGGCAGCAUGAUUGAAGCUUGCUUCAAUCGAUGGCGACCGGCGCACGGGUGAGUAACACGUAUCCAACCUGCCGAUAACUCGGGGAUAGCCUUUCGAAAGAAAGAUUAAUACCCGAUAGUAUAGUAUUUCCGCAUGGUUUCACUAUUAAAGAACUUCGGUUAUCGAUGGGGAUGCGUUCCAUUAGAUAGUUGGCGGGGUAACGGCCCACCAAGUCAACGAUGGAUAGGGGUUCUGAGAGGAAGGUCCCCCACAUUGGAACUGAGACACGGUCCAAACUCCUACGGGAGGCAGCAGUGAGGAAUAUUGAUCAAUGGACGAGAGUCUGAACCAGCCAAGUAGCGUGAAGGAUGACUGCCCUAUGGGUUGUAAACUUCUUUUAUACGGGAAUAAAGUGGAGUAGGCAUACUCCUUUGUAUGUACCGUAUGAAUAAGGAUCGGCUAACUCCGUG
rnacentral:rRNA from 1 species